UACGUAGGGGGCGUAGCGUUGUCCGGAUUUAUUGGGCGUAAAAGAGCGUGUAGGCGGCCAGGUAGGUCUGCUGUGAAAACUCGAGGCUCAACCUCGAGACGUCGGCGGAAACCAUCUGGCUAGAGUCCGGAAGAGGAGAGUGGAAUUCCUGGUGUAGCGGUGAAAUGCGCAGAUAUCAGGAAGAACACCCGUGGCGAAGGCGGCUCUCUGGGACGGUACUGACGCUGAGACGCGAAAGCGUGGGGAGCGAACAGG
rnacentral:rRNA from 1 species